UACAGAGGGUGCGAGCGUUAUUCGGAAUUACUGGGCGUAAAGCGUGCGUAGGCGGCUUUGCAAGUCGGGUGUGAAAUCCCCAGGCUUAACCUGGGAACUGCAUUCGAGACUGCAUUGCUAGAGUAUGGGAGAGGGAAGUGGAAUUUCCGGUGUAGCGGUGAAAUGCGUAGAUAUCGGAAGGAACAUCAGUGGCGAAGGCGACUUCCUGGACCAAUACUGACGCUCAGGUGCGAAAGCGUGGGGAGCAAACAGG
rnacentral:rRNA from 1 species